rnacentral:rRNA from 1 species
UACGUAGGGGGCAAGCGUUGUCCGGAAUCAUUGGGCGUAAAGCGCGCGUAGGCGGCCCUGUAAGUCCGCUGUGAAAGUCAAAGGCUCAACCUUGGAAAGCCGGUGGAUACUGUGAGGCUAGAGUACGGAAGAGGCGAGUGGAAUUCCUGGUGUAGCGGUGGAAUGCGCAGAUAUCAGGAGGAACACCAAUAGCGAAGGCAGCUCGCUGGGACGUUACUGACACUGAGGCGCGAAAGCGUGGGGAGCGAACAGG